GACGAACGCUGGCGGCGUGGAUUAGGCAUGCAAGUCGGACGAGAAAGUCGCUUUCGGGUGAUGAGUACAGUGGCGGACGGGUGAGUAACGCGUAGAUCAUCUACCUUUAAGUUGGGGACAACUCAGGGAAACCUGAGCUAAUACCGAAUGUGGCUGCAAAGCUAAAGGGGGCUUCGGCUCCCGCUUAGAGAUGAGUCUGCGUCCAAUUAGUUAGAUGGUGAGGUAAUGGCUCACCAUGGCGAUGAUUGGUAGGCGGCUUUAACGAGUGGUCGCCCACACUGGGAUUGAGAUACGGCCCAGACUCCUACGGGAGGCAGCAGUCGAGAAUAGUCUACAAUGGGGGAAACCCUGAUAGUGCGACGCCGCGUGAACGAAGAAGCUUUUCGGAGUGUAAAGUUCUUUUCUGUAUGAGCAAUGCUUUAUUGUUUAAGAGAUAAUAGAGAGAGAUAUUAGUACAGGAAUAAGCCACGGCUAACUCCGUGCCAGCAGCCGACGG
rnacentral:rRNA from 1 species